UCGUAUGCCAUGUUUGAGGGGCAGUGGGCAUCUUACACCAAGUAUGCAGGGCAGCGGGCGUCUUGCGCCAUAUCUGUCGGGCAAUGGGCAUAUUACACCAUGUCUGCAAGGCAGCAGGUGUUUUGCACUAUGUAUGCCAGGCAGCGGGUGUAUUGCACCAUGUUUGUAGGGUAACUUGUGUCUUUUGCUUGUUGUAGGAGUUUAUCAGUUUGUUUAUGCAUUUGGCCCAAGCUUGUGAAUAAAUCUUUCAAUCCUUAUUGAGAAUAUAGGCUUUUAUUAACUUUUCUAGUAGGCGAUAAUGGCAUAACAACUAAUAAUCCUCGGUGGGCGAGGUUUUGUCCGUUGAGCUACUUGAGUCUUCGAACUUUUUAUCUUGAACAAGGUCCAAGAAACGGUGGAAGGUCGCAUGUAGUACUUC
rnacentral:lncRNA from 1 species